rnacentral:misc_RNA from 1 species
GAAAAGCUUUCUGGUUGGUCUAGAGAGGAGAUUGUUGGAAAAAUGUUAGUUGGUGAAAUUUUUGGAAGUUGUUGUCGGCUCAAGGGCCCAGAUGCCAUGACAAAGUUCAUGAUCGUGUUGCAUAAUGCAAUCGGAGGCCAGGACACAGACAAGUUUCCAUUUUCCUUUUUUGACCGAAAUGGGAAAUAUGUGCAAGCUCUUUUGACAGCAAA